rnacentral:rRNA from 1 species
UACAGAGGUCCCGAGCGUUGUUCGGAUUCAUUGGGCGUAAAGGGUGCGUAGGCGGCUUCCUAAGUUUGAUGUGAAAUCCUGGGGCUCAACCCUGGAACUGCAUUGAAUACUGGGAGGCUAGAGUACUGGAGAGGAAACUGGAAUUUACGGUGUAGCAGUGAAAUGCGUAGAGAUCGUAAGGAAGACCAGUGGCGAAGGCGAGUUUCUGGACAGUUACUGACGCUGAGGUGCGAAAGCGUGGGGAGCAAACAGG